UGUCUUUGUCACAGAUCGUACUUAUCUCAACAUUUAUCCACAGAAGGUGAAAAUCAGUCGAACAUCGAACUUACAGCUGCCUUCGCAGCCUACAGCUACCACGUGAUUCGCCGGUGGAUGCGCUGCUCUCCGCUCGGGAGAUGAAACAGGUGCAGUGGAGCAAAAAUAUUUCAGCCAAAAUGGGUUUUUGCACCCAGUUGUCUGCAGCAACCUUUGCCGUGGGAAUAAAAAGCAUAUUUUUGCUGGUUGCUUUUGGAGAUGCAACGAGUCUUCCAGUCACCACAGGUGUCAAGGAUUCACUGGAGCUCUUUUACUGCACUUCUGCAGGGUGUGCUGCCAAUGUGACAAAAGUGUUUUGCAAUGACGACCUCCUUCAGCAUGACCACUUUCCAGAUUGCUCACGAUCUCCGCCUCCUUAUAAAGUGUGCCAGCAUGAUGGCCGUGCAUAUGUUUCCACCCCGGUAGGGACCAAGUGUGAAUUUGAGGAGGAGAGUGCAUACAUUCCAACAAAGAAAUGUACAGACGUUGACCCCAUUUGCCUUUGGAUUCAUGCUACAUCCUCAUCACCAACCACUACAAACACUGGGAAGAAAGCAGCGGGAGUUGAUCCAGGAUACAUCAUCCUAGGAUGCAUCCGUGAGUUAAAAUCAUCAUCUAGCACUGAAAGGUUAUCCUCCCAAUAUCGUUCUUCAUAUGAAGUGCUUACAUUCCCAAUGUAAGCAUUUAGAAAAUGCUUACACUUGAAAAAUAGAAUAGAAUAAUCAAAAGAUGGCAGUGUCGCUUUGCAAGUGACAUAAACAUGCUGGUUCUUUGAACCGACACUCUGUUCUUACAAAUAUUCAUCUAAGUGACAUUGAGAAUGUUGUACCCUCUCACAUAUGUUGUUGAUGUUUCAGAAUGAACACAAAGUGACACAAGAAGCAGUAAAACUCCCAAAGGAUCCAUUAACCCCUUCAUUCGGUGUUAUUCUAAUCUUGCAUGUUCUUUCUGUAGAUGUGUGACUCUUCUGUGGGUACUCAGGUUUUCUCCCACAGUCCUGUAAAAUUCCUUGUUAUAGUGAACUGGUUUGUCAGAUUUUUCCUUCAAAUUUAUUAAGUGUGUGUUUGUUGGUUUGUAAUAACUUGUGGGGACCAUUUUCCUGACACAUACCAUGUUGUGGGAACCCUUGUGGGGGCCGAGGCCUGGGCCCCACAAGGGAAAAUGCUAUUUUUGGGUCAGGGGUUAGAUUUAGGACUACGGUGUGAAUUGAGUUUUGGUUAUGCAUGUGAUGAGUAGGGUUAGGAUAAGGUUUAAGCUAUAGAAAUGAAUGGAAGUCAAUGGAACGUCCCCACAAAGAUAACCAUGCAAACAUUUGUGUGUUUGUGUGUGCAUGGUAGUUUGUUUUGUGGCAAAGUGGGGACCUGUGCAAUGUAUGCUUGCAGCCCGUCUCUUGCCAAAUGACAUAGAUGAAAGUUAAAUCUGAGAAGUUUGGCUUUUUGUUACUGACUCGUCUUGCUUGCUGUGAUCUGUUCACUUGCUUCACUUGGGGCCAAAAUAUCAUUGUAAAGGCUGGUGUUAAGUUGGUUUUGCUGCACUUCUGGCUGGUGGUGUAAUAUGUUACUGUCUUAAAAGACGCAGCCGAAGGCUAAACCAGCAGCAAAACAGAGACCCUGAAGAGAGUCAACAAUUAGC